rnacentral:rRNA from 1 species
AAGUCGAACGGCAGCAUGACCUAGCUUGCUAGGUUGAUGGCGAGUGGCGAACGGGUGAGUAAUACAUCGGAACGUGCCCUGUAGUGGGGGAUAACUAGUCGAAAGAUUAGCUAAUACCGCAUACGACCUGAGGGUGAAAGUGGGGGACCGCAAGGCCUCAUGCUACAGGAGCGGCCGAUGUCUGAUUAGCUAGUUGGUGAGGUAAAGGCUCACCAAGGCGACGAUCAGUAGCUGGUCUGAGAGGACGAUCAGCCACACUGGGACUGAGACACGGCCCAGACUCCUACGGGAGGCAGCAGUGGGGAAUUUUGGACAAUGGGCGAAAGCCUGAUCCAGCGAUGCCGCGUGUGUGAAGAAGGCCUUCGGGUUGUAAAGCACUUUUGUCCGGAAAGAAAUGGCUCUGGUUAAUACCUGGAGUCGAUGACGGUACCGGAAGAAUAAGGACCGGCUAACUACGUGCCAGCAGCCGCGGUAAUACGUAGGGUCCAAGCGUUAAUCGGAAUUACUGGGCGUAAAGCGUGCGCAGGCGGUUGUGCAAGACCGAUGUGAAAUCCCCGGGCUUAACCUGGGAAUUGCAUUGGUGACUGCACGGCUAGAGUGUGUCAGAGGGAGGUAGAAUUCCACGUGUAGCAGUGAAAUGCGUAGAGAUGUGGAGGAAUACCGAUGGCGAAGGCAGCCUCCUGGGAUAACACUGACGCUCAUGCACGAAAGCGUGGGGAGCAAACAGGAUUAGAUACCCUG